CUACGUAGCUCAGAGUUUGAUCCUGGCUCAGGACGAACGCUGGCGGCGUGCUUAACACAUGCAAGUCGAACGGAGUUAAGUGGGAGCUUGCUUUUGCUUAACUUAGUGGCGAACGGGUGAGUAACGCGUGAGUAAUCUGUCUCAUACAGGGGGAUAACACUUGGAAACAGGUGCUAAUACCGCAUAAGACCACGGCCUCGCAUGGGGCAGAGGUCAAAGAUUUAUCGGUAUGAGGUGAGCUCGCGUCUGAUUAGAUAGUUGGUGAGGUAACGGCUCACCAAGUCUGCGAUCAGUAGCCGACCUGAGAGGGUGAUCGGCCACAUUGGAACUGAGAUACGGUCCAA
rnacentral:rRNA from 1 species